UCUGGGCCCACCUCGUCCAGCCGCCGGUCUGUGCCCAAGGAGAUGAGGAGCAAGGCCAGGUCGGAGUAGUCGAAGGUCUCGUCCAGGGCAAGCAGCGCCCCGUGCACCCCGCUCUCCGUGAGGUUCGUGGCGAAUUCCUUCAGACCCAAACCAGACACCCAACCCAUGACCCGCUCAUUGGACCACACCAUCACGUCUGUGGAGAGAAGCGACCCUCAGCAGCGCCCAUCCCGGCGCCAGAGCUGUCCGAGGUAGCCCGUCCCGCCGAACCCCGCCUCUCUCCUGGCCACGCCCCCAGGCCGGCAUCUCCCCAACCCCAAACCGGUGUGACCCCCCCUCACCCCUAACCUGGCUCCCAGUGAAAUUCACAGACUCUUCUCACCUCGGAUCUGGGUCUGACUCUCUUCCCGCCUCCGCUCCAAGUCCUUCCGGUCGUAGUUGAGCCGUUUCAGGCACAUGAUCCCGUAAUGCAGACUCACCCUGAGCAGUAAGGGAAUUGAGGUCACAGAAAAAGCCUUCACGACCUCAGCGACGGCUGCUCCUAUUGGCCCUCCCCACUGACUGUGGUCGUCCCGAAGAGGUUGGGGAGAUGCUCCAUUGGAAGGACAAUGGCCAUCUCUGCUCAAGAGCACGGCCCUGUCGACGUGGUCUCUGCUCCUUCAUGACACAGUAAACUCCUGUGUGUUCAGAGCGUGGUCCUUGGGCCACAGCACCACCAUCGUCUGUGAAUUUGCUGGAACUGCACAAUCUCAGACCCCACCCUAGGCUACUGAAUCAGAACCUGAUUCUCACAAGAUCCUCAAGUGAUCUGAACUGGCCAUUAAAGUUUAAGAAGCACUAAUCUAGCUCGUCCUAACUCGGGACAAUGGAUCCUUCAAAUAUACCCUCCCCCCAACAAAGGCUAAUGGACCCAUUCAUCACUCCUGCACUGUCCCCCAAAUACCAGCCUAUUCCUGUGUCUGGCAGCCCAACAUUUCCUCCACCUCAGGUGAGUUCAUGUCUCCCCCUUCUUGAAAAUAAAGCGUAGCUCCAC